GACGAACGCUGGCGGCGUGCUUAACACAUGCAAGUCGAACGGAAAGGCCCCUUCGGGGGUGCUCGAGUGGCGAACGGGUGAGUAACACGUGAGUAACCUGCCCUUGACUUCGGGAUAACUUCAGGAAACUGGGGCUAAUACCGGAUAGGAAUCCUUGCUGCAUGGUGGGGGUUGGAAGGCUUCGGCGGUUUUGGAUGGACUCGCGGCUUAUCAGCUUGUUGGUGGGGUAGUGGCUUACCAAGGCUUUGACGGGUAGCCGGCCUGAGAGGGCGACCGGCCACAUUGGGACUGAGAUACGGCCCAGACUCCUACGGGAGGCAGCAGUGGGGAAUAUUGCACAAUGGGCGGAAGCCUGAUGCAGCAACGCCGCGUGCGGGAUGACGGCCUUCGGGUUGUAAACCGCUUUCAGCAGGGGCGAAGCUUGUGGUGACGGUACCUGCAGAAGAAGCACCGGCUAACUACGUG
rnacentral:rRNA from 1 species